GACGAACGCUGGCGGCGUGCCUAAUACAUGCAAGUUGAGCGAUGAAGAUUGGUGCUUGCACCAAUUUGAAGAGCAGCGAACGGGUGAGUAACGCGUGGGGAAUCUGCCUUUGAGCGGGGGACAACAUUUGGAAACGAAUGCUAAUACCGCAUAACAACUUUAAACAUAAGUUUUAAGUUUGAAAGAUGCAAUUGCAUCACUCAAAGAUGAUCCCGCGUUGUAUUAGCUAGUUUGUGAGGUAAAGGCUCACCAAGGCGAUGAUACAUAGCCGACCUGAGAGGGUGAUCGGCCACAUUGGGACGUGGACACGGCCCAAACUCCUACGGGAGGCAGCAGUAGGGAAUCUUCGGCAAUGGACGAAAGUCUGACCGAGCAACGCCGCGUGAGUGAAGAAGGUUUUCGGAUCGUAAAACUCUGUUGGUAGAGAAGAACGUUGGUGAGAGUGGAAAGCUCAUCAAGUGACGGUAACUACCCAGAAAGGGACGGCUAACUACGUG
rnacentral:rRNA from 1 species